UCCGGUUUGUCACCGGCAGUCUCCCUAGAGUGCCCUUGCGUAGCAACUAGGGACAAGGGUUGCGCUCGUUGCGGGACUUAACCCAACAUCUCACGACACGAGCUGACGACAGCCAUGCAGCACCUGUGUUACGGCUCCCUUUCGGGCACACCCCCAUCUCUGGAGGCUCUCGGACAUGUCAAGGGUAGGUAAGGUUUUUCGCGUUGCAUCGAAUUAAUCCACAUCAUCCACCGCUUGUGCGGGUCCCCGUCAAUUCCUUUGAGUUUUAAUCUUGCGGUCGUACUCCCCAGGCGGGGCACUUAAUGCGUUAGCUACGGCACUGCCGGGGUCGAUACCGACAACACCUAGUGCCCAUUGUUUACGGCUAGGACUAA
rnacentral:misc_RNA from 1 species